rnacentral:rRNA from 1 species
ACUCCUACGGGAGGCAGCAGUGGGGAAUUUUGGACAAUGGGCGAAAGCCUGAUCCAGCAAUGCCGCGUGAGUGAAGAAGGCCUUCGGGUUGUAAAGCUCUUUUGUCAGGGAAGAAACGGUGAAAGCUAAUAUCUUUUGCUAAUGACGGUACCUGAAGAAUAAGCACCGGCUAACUACGUGCCAGCAGCCGCGGUAAUACGUAGGGUGCAAGCGUUAAUCGGAAUUACUGGGCGUAAAGCGUGCGCAGGCGGUUUUGUAAGUCUGAUGUGAAAUCCCCGGGCUCAACCUGGGAAUUGCAUUGGAGACUGCAAGGCUAGAAUCUGGCAGAGGGGGGUAGAAUUCCACGUGUAGCAGUGAAAUGCGUAGAUAUGUGGAGGAACACCGAUGGCGAAGGCAGCCCCCUGGGUCAAGAUUGACGCUCAUGCACGAAAGCGUGGGGAGCAAACAGGAUUAGAAACCCGGGUAGUCC